rnacentral:rRNA from 1 species
AACGGCCGUACCAUGCUGAAUAUACCGGUUCUCGUUAGAUCACCGAAGUUAAGCAUCAUUGGGCGCGGUCAGUACUUGGGUGGGUGACCACCUGGGAACACUGCGUGA